rnacentral:rRNA from 1 species
AAUGGAGGAAACUCUGAUGCAGCAACGCCGCGUGGAGGACGAAGGUUUUCGGAUUGUAAACUCCUGUCUUUUGGGACGAUAAUGACGGUACCAGAGGAGGAAGCCACGGCUAACUACGUGCCAGCAGCCGCGGUAAUACGUAGGUGGCACGCGUUGUCCGGAUUUACUGGGCGUAAAGGGUGCGUAGGCGGAUAUUUAAGUGGGAUGUGAAAUACCUGAGCUCAACUCGGGUGCUGCAUUCCAAACUGGAUAUCUAGAGUGCAGGAGAGGAGAAUGGAAUUCCUAGUGUAGCGGUGAAAUGCGUAGAGAUUAGGAAGAACACCAGUGGCGAAGGCGAUUCUCUGGACUGUAACUGACGCUGAGUCACGAAAGCGUGGGUAGCAAA